UGCCAAAGAGGGCCUAGAUGUGACGCUGGAGCUUUGGAGUUGGCAGGUUUUUAUGACCCCUAUUCCCCUUAGCCCCCUUCUUUCCAGGCUCAGCACAAGGAGCAGCCAUAUGAUGUUUACACACAUAGAACAACCGGAUUACGCAUCAAGGAGAUAGUUUUUCUGCUGAUGCCUGUGAAGAGCUGAAUGGGGACCACUAUGUACUACUCAGUACAGCAUCUGUGAAGAAUGGGAGCUGACCUCAUGCAUAGAGCUACUUGGAGGCUGAGGUCUGACUGCUAGAUUCAACCACAUGGUUUUUACAGUGCUCACUUGCUGUGUGUCCUGGGGUUACAGAGGCACGUGAAACAUGACCCCUGCCUUGAUGGAUGAAGCAUGUGUGAACAAAGAGGCACAAAGAGCCCCAAGUCCAGUUUCACACAUUGGUGAAGAGCUGGGUCUUCGUGUGGAGCUGGAAAGGAGGAAGGAGGUUCUGCAGUCUCACAUCUGGUAAUGUACAGUAAGGUGCCUUACAGAAAGUGGAGCU